AAAACAGACGGCGGACCCCAAUUUGCCUCCGUCGAAUUUCUAGAUUUCUGCCGAUCGGACGCUAUCCAACCCGUUGUCAGUUCGGCAUAUUAUCCUCAACUCAAUGGACAUGACGAUGCAACUGUCAAAAUGUUAAAGGGUUUGGUCAAGAAGCAUUGCGUGAACAACCGAAUUGAUCAAGAUGCUUUUGAUGCAGCUCUUCUAGAGUGUAGAAAUGUUCCACGGGAGGAUGGUUUAUCUCCUACUCAAUGGCUCUUUUGCCGUGGAUUGCGCACCCACAUCCUUACUCAUCAUUUGAACUAUGAGAUAGUGGGGCAGAGUGAGCGUGAUCGUGCUUUGGAGAAGAGACGUUUGAGCAUCUUGGAGAUCAAAAUUGAUAUGACCAAAGUUCUCGAGUCCAGAAAGGAUUAUGUGUUGGCCAAGAAGUGAGGAUUAAAGAUCCUCAUUCUAAGAUGAGGUAUCGGAUUGGUGUUAUCCUACAGUCCGAUAUAAUGGUCGGUCGUAUGUGAUUGAUUAUAAGACUGGCGGAGAAUCGGCCAUAGAAGAACCCGGGAUCACAUCUCAACUCAUGGAGCCAAGAAGAAGUUCUCGAAAAAGGAAGAAGAAGAUUGGCCGUGUUCAAGUUUAGGUUUGUUCAAUCUCAAUUUUCUCCUCCUCAUCACUGCACUUGAUUAUAAAACUCCAGUUUCCUUUAA